rnacentral:misc_RNA from 1 species
GUGAAUCAUCGAAUCUUUGAACGCAUAUUGCACUCUCUGGUAUUCCGGAGAGUAUGCCUGUUUGAGGGUAAUUAAAAAAAAUCUUUAACCAAUUUUUUUGGUCAAAGGAAAUGAGCUCUCCGCGUUUAUAGCGUUAUCUUGAAAUAAAUGGUCAAGUCUCGUUUUAGUCGAGACGCGUUAUAAUAUUAUUACGCGAAAUCUUCAUUAUGUGACUAUCAAUAUUUUAUGCAUACAAAUUUUCUUUGUAUUCGAUUAAUACAUAUAUUGUUAACAUUACCUCAAAUC